rnacentral:rRNA from 1 species
AACGAACGCUGGCGGCAUGCCUAACACAUGCAAGUCGAACGAGACCUUCGGGUCUAGUGGCGCACGGGUGCGUAACGCGUGGGAACCUGCCCUUAGGUUCGGAAUAACUCCCCGAAAGGGGUGCUAAUACCGGAUAAUGUCUUCGGACCAAAGAUUUAUCGCCUUUGGAUGGGCCCGCGUUGGAUUAGCUAGUUGGUAGGGUAAAAGCCUACCAAGGCGACGAUCCAUAGCUGGUCUGAGAGGAUGAUCAGCCACACUGGGACUGAGACACGGCCCAGACUCCUACGGGAGGCAGCAGUGGGGAAUAUUGGACAAUGGGCGAAAGCCUGAUGCAGCAAUGCCGCGUGAGUGAUGAAGGCCUUAGGGUUGUAAAGCUCUUUUACCAGGGAUGAUAAUGACAGUACCGGGAGAAUAAGCUCCGGCUAACUCCGUG